rnacentral:rRNA from 2 species
AACUUUCAACAACGGAUCUCUUGGCUCUGGCAUCGAUGAAGAACGCAGCGAAAUGCGAUAAGUAAUGUGAAUUGCAGAAUUCAGUGAAUCAUCGAAUCUUUGAACGCACAUUGCGCCCUCUGGUAUUCCGGGGGGCAUGCCUGUUCGAGCGUCAUUU